rnacentral:Y_RNA from 1 species
GGCUGGUCAGAAGGUAGUGUUAUCUCAAUUGAUUUUUCAUAGUCACAAAUCAAACUCCUUAUUCUGCUCUUCCUCUCCUCUCACUACUGCACUUGACGACUCUGAC